CACUGAAGACUGGAGUAAUGAUGCUGAAAAUUUAAAAUAUAUUACAAAAGAAAACAGUUAUUUUACACUGCAAAAUUGUUUCCAGUCCAAAUAUCUAAAAAUUCUUAAAUCAAGAUGCAUUUACUAGAUGAGUAAAGUGGCAUAAGAUAUUAUGUCUUGCAAAAUUAUCUGCCAAUGGAUAAAGAAAUAGAAUCUUAAUUCAAACAGAAACAAGAUUAUUUUUCUUACCCCAAUGGCAGAUAAUUUUGCCUGUUUUAAGCAAAAACUCACUUAAUUUUGAGCAUUUUUUGCAGUUUAAAUUGUAAUUAUACUUACAAUUUUACUGUUUUUACUGUAUUCUUGAUCAAAUCAAUGCAGUCUUGGUGAGAAUAAAAGACUUCCUUAAUAAAUAUCUAAAGAAAUUGUACUGACCCAAACAUUUGAAUGGAAAAUUUUCAGCUAAAUUAUUACAUCUAAAUAAGGUUACUUUGGUGGCUUGUUUACAUCAGCCAUAUUUAAAACUACCAAUAUUUAAUACAUCACAGAGAAGAAACAGAGUGGAAAGGAUAAAGAAUUAUUAAGAGUCAAUUAAAACAUAGCUGUAAUGUGCACAGCCAAAUUUUCUCUGAAGAAAUGGUCUGUCAUCUAAGAAUAGCCGGAGUGCAUUAAAGUGUCUCUAGGGAAAAAAGAGUGCUGGAGAGAGAACCAGGCAAGGAUUGUACUGUGUAUGUAUGUGUGUGUAUUUCCUUCCGUCUAUUCUAAAAUCAAGCAUUAUUAUUAAUGUUUUAGCAGUGAAAUCAAGGGUGACAUCGAUUAGAUUUAGUUGUAUUCACUAAGCAUGCUGAUUUUGUUUUACAGAAUAGCAAGGUCAGAACAACAGUCCUGUGGCAGAAAAGAGAUUUUGAUCCAACGGUACUGAUCAUUGAGCAGCUUCUGCGGCCAAACUCAUGUUAAAUCUCGCAAAUGUGUCUAUAUUAGACAGGCAAAUACAAUGGCGAGAGUGAGGAGAAAAGAUAAGAGAGAGGAAGCUAUGGAUAGAAGGACCACAAUUGGGAAGGAAGAGAUGGAAAUCGGGCUGCAUGCUGAGAGUGGAAAUCAUUUUGACAUUAUCAGCCUAUUAAACACAUCCCAGUACUCAGCGGAGGAAGUUAACCACACAAACUGAGAUUUCUGUAGCAGUUCCCCUGCUGAGUAAAGGAAAGCUUUAGAAAAAGAUUAAAAAAGAUCAUUGUAAAUAAUGGUUAUUGUGGGGGUUUUCCUUAUGGCUUACACAGUGUUUUAUUUAUAAUAUUUCUAUUUUUGCACAGUGAUUCAUCUCCACAAUAACAGCUGGAUUCUGGGUCACUGUCCAUUAAUGCAAAUAAAUUCUGCUGGGGGAGCAGAACAAAGGCAAAAAGACCAGAUUAAGCAUGAUUUAGAUUUACGUCCCAAAGUCCCACAAAUACCUGGAAUAAUACAUGCAAACAGUAUUUUUGUCACUGUUUUUAGUAAAAAUAUCUGAACAUUCUUACAAACUAACUUUAUUUGAAAAGCAAAAUUGUAUCAAAAAUUAGGGCUUGUUUUUCCAGAAUGUAUCUGGAAUAAAUAUCAUGGCUCUUACGCCAAUGGCAGCUUUUUAAAGCUUAAAUGAAGCAAAAUAUAGCGUUGUUUAUGCAUUAAACAAUGAAAAACAAUUUGCCAGUGGGUUUAGGAAAAUAAACUUGGAUUUGUUCUCUGUUGUGCUUCCCAAGUAAAUUUAUCUUGUUCAAAGGAUGGUGUAAAACAAAAAUAUUGAUUUAAGAAAAUUAUUUUUUGCAGUACACCCAGAGCAUUUUCUUUGAUGCUGAGAUAAAAUGUUUGUUUUUGUGUGUGUGUGUGUGUAUGUGUGUGUGUGUGUGUGUGUGUGUGUGUGCUGUUAGAUACAGAAUCAGAAGCAAAUUUAAAAGCAGAGUUUUAAACUAACUCUUUUGAUCGCUUCAGUGCACCCGUUUGUUUUGCACGGCUCCAGCAUUUUCAGGGUAUCUGUUCCUGUCUGGUCAUUUUUUCCUCUUUUUUCCUCUCCUUUUCAGUCAGGUGUGUGUGUGUGUGUGUGUGUGUGUGUGUGUGUGGCACACUUUUAAACCCCAUACUGAGUACAAAGUGCAGCUUGAGAAGUUUUGGUAUUUUGCUCUAGUUUUCUAAAUCCCAGGAUCCAUUUCAGUGUUCAGAGAAACAGAAUAAAAUGAGGGAACAGUUGAGAUCAGAGAUCACCACAUAUCAUUUGCGAUAGGAUUUUCACGUUAGAUUCUCUUUAUUCGGUCGAUAUUAAACUAUAACAAUGUUGGUGCUGUAAUGUCUUAUUUCUACAUCAUACUGUUGUUUUUAUAUUUUUUCAUUAAGCUGUAAUAUAUAUACAUUUUUUGUCAUUCUUGUGCAGCUAUGAGAUUUUAUGCGAUAUGAGAUGAGUACAUGCAAGACUUCCAAAGGAAGGGUUAUAUUGGUUUCAUUUGUAGGGGGCGAAGAGUCGGUCAGAGUUAUUUAUAUUUCAUUGCACAUUUCAAAAGUGUCAUGGUCCCUUUAUAUGUAUUCUGUUAUUGACAGGUCAUCAUAUAUUAAAAUAUUAUCUUGUAGCAUAAUCAUAUUCAGCCAAAGCAGAGCCUUUGUGAGGUUUAGUAGUUUUUUUUUUGUUUUUUUGUUUUUUGAAGAUUUUAAAAGAAUCAAGUCACCAGAGCAGGUGUUUGAUUGGUUGAUCACAGAUGUACUUCAUUUGCAUUGGAUACUAUAUAUAUUGGGAACGUAUAUCAUAAGAAGAUACCAUAAAAACAAUCACAUGUACAGUGUACAAUAGCGCACAAACUUAUUCUAUAUAAUGUUAAAUUAAAUCUUAUGGAAAAUGUAAACAGUUUAUAAAAAAACAAAUGGUGCCGUUUCAUUCCGUUGUGAGAGAAUUCCUUUGAUUUCAUUGUAAUUACCUCUGGCUAAACACCCCUCCCCCCCACACACACACACAUAUAUGAUUAGAAUAUUUAUAUAUUCAUGAGGCUGCAUUACAUGUGAUUGUGCAACAUUCUCACUGAAUACACUACUGUUUUUUGUAUUUGUCAUCUUAUGCAUCUUAAAUACUGGGAGCUGUAUCAGUGAAAAGAGUGACUGACCUCACGAGGAAAUCUCACUUAAUGUUAUGCAUAUUGUUGCAUAUUGUUAUGUAUAUGUUGUAGUCUUGAUCAUGGAUGCAUCUCUCACUUGUGCAGAGCUUGCUACCUGUAUAAUGAUGGGAGGCACACAAUUUUUUAUUGUAAUAUGAAAUAUGCUGUCUACGCAAUUGUUUUUCUUAUACAUUUCACACUUAAGUGUAUUGUUUGAUUUAUGAAUAUUUUUGGUUAUUAAACUGUAAAAGAAUGUC